CGCUGGCGGCGCGCCUCAUACAUGCAAGUCGAGCGAGAACCCGCAAGGGGACAGCGGCGAACGGGGUAGGAAUACGUAGGUAACGUACCCUCGGGGCGAGGACAGCCACGGGAAACUGUGGGUAAUACUCGAUAAACUUCCCAAUCAUUAUGGAAGGGGAAGCAAUGGGUGUGAUUCCACCUGAGGAGCGGCUUACGCAGUAUCAGCUAGUUGGUGAGGUAACGGCUCACCAAGGCUACGACGCUUAGGGGGUGUGAGAGCAUGGCCCCCACCACUGGCACUGAGACACUGGCCAGACACCUACGGGUGGCUGCAGUCGAGAAUCUUCGGCAAUGGACGCAAGUCUGACCGAGCGACGCCGCGUGUGGGAUGAAGGCCUUCGGGUUGUAAACCACUGUCAGAGGGGAUGAAGUGUACGAGAGUUAUCUCUUGUAUUUGACAGAGCCUCAGAGGAAGCACGGGCUAAGUUCGUG
rnacentral:rRNA from 1 species